UAGGUUAGAGCCUCUCAUACCU
rnacentral:siRNA from 1 species